CGUGGCUAACCUACCCUUGGGACGGAAACACCCCCGGGAAACUGGGGCUAAUUUCCGAUAGGUGAAGACUCCUGGAAUGGAUUUUCGCCUAAAGGGCGUCUGGGGCAUGCUUUCAGGCGUCGCACAAGGAUGGGGCCGCGGCCGAUCAGGUUGUUGGUGAGGUAACGGCUCACCAAGCCUUUAACCGGUACGGGCCGUGGGAGCGGUAGCCCGGAGAUGGGCACUGAGACAAGGGCCCAGGCCCUACGGGGCGCAGCAGUCGCGAAAACUUCGCAAUAAGCGAAAGCUUGACGGGGCCAUCCCGAGUGCCAUCUGCUGAGGAUGGCUUUUACCCAGUAUAGAUAGCUGGGGGAAUAAGGAGAGGGCAAGUCUGGUGUCAGCCGCCGCGGUAAUACCAGCUCUCCGAGUUGUAGGGAUGUUUAUUGGGCCUAAAGCAUCCGUAGCCGGCUGGACAAGUCCCCUGUUAAAUCCAGCGACCAAUCGUUGGUCUGCGGGGGAUACUGUCCGGCUAGGGGGCGGGAGAGGCCGUCGGUAUUCCUGGGGUAGGGGGUGAAAUCCUAUAAUCCCAGGAGGACCACCAGUGGCGAAGGCUGUCGGCUAGAACGCGCCCGACGGUGAGGGAUGAAAGCUGGGGGAGCGAACCGGAUUAGAUACCCGGGUAGUCCAGCUGU
rnacentral:rRNA from 1 species